UACAGAGGGGGCAAGCGUUGUUCGGAAUUACUGGGCGUAAAGGGCGCGUAGGCGGCCUGCUAAGUCGAACGUGAAAUCCCUGGGCUCAACCCAGGAACUGCGUCCGAUACUGUUUGGCUUGAAUCCGGGAGAGGGAUGUGGAAUUCCAGGUGUAGCGGUGAAAUGCGUAGAUAUCUGGAGGAACACCGGUGGCGAAGGCGACAUCCUGGACCGGCAUUGACGCUGAGGCGCGAAAGCCAGGGGAGCAAACGGG
rnacentral:rRNA from 1 species